rnacentral:rRNA from 1 species
AUACGUAGGUGGCAAGCGUUAUCCGGAAUUAUUGGGCGUAAAGAGUGAGCAGGCGGUUAAUUAAGUCUGAGGUUAAAGCGUGGGGCUCAACCCCAUAAAGCCUUGGAAACUGAUUGACUAGAGUACGGGAGAAGUGAAGGGAACUCCAUGUGGAGCGGUGAAAUGCGGAGAUAUAUGGAAGAACACCAGUGGCGAAGGCGCUUCACUAGCCCGAAACUGACGCUCAGUCACGAAAGCGUGGGUAGCAAAUAGGAUUAGAUACCCUAGUAGUCCACGCUGUAAACGAUGACAACUAAAUAUUGCCGCGAGGCAGUGUUGAAGCUAACGCAUUAAGUUGUCCGCCUGGGGAGUAAGGUCGCAAGACUGAAACUUAAAGGAAUUGACGGGG